rnacentral:rRNA from 1 species
CGCCUUCUUGCUUCUCCAGUAUAAGAGGUCCCGCCUGCCCAGUGACUAUAUGUUAAACGGCCGCGGUAUUCUGACCGUGCGAAGGUAGCGUAAUCACUUGUCUUUUAAAUGAGGACUUGUAUGAAUGGCAUCACGAAGACCUUACUGUCUCCUAUAUCCAAUCAGUGAAACUGAUCUCCCCGUGAAGAAGCGGGGAUUUCACCAUAAGACGAGAAGACCCCAUGGAGCUUUAAACUUAAACCACCCGCUUUACCAUCUCAACCUACGGGGAAACUAACUAAUCAAGCGGUACUGGCUUACGUUUUCGGUUGGGGCGACCACGGAGAAUAAUGAAUCCUCCAUGAUGAAAGAACACCUCUUAACCAAGAGCUACAGCUCUAAGUAUUAGAACUUCUAACCUUAAUUGAUCCAAUCUUAUUGAUCAACGAACCAAGUUACCCUGGGGAUAACAGCGCAAUCCAUUUCAAGAGUCCAUAUCGACAAAUGGGUUUACGACCUCGAUGUUGGAUCAGGGCAUCCUAGUGGUGCAGCCGCUACUAAAGGUUCGUUUGUUCCACGAUUAAAGCCCU